rnacentral:rRNA from 1 species
UGUAGCAUGUAGCGGUGAAAUGCAUAGAUAUGCUACAGAACACCGAUCGCGAAGGCAGCUCACUAAACCAACACUGACGCUCAGGCACGAAAGCGUGGGUAGCGAACAGGAUUAGAUACCCUGGUAGUCCACGCCGUAAACGAUGAUUACUCGUUGUUGGCGAUACACAGUCAGUGACUAAGCGAAAGCGAUAAGUAAUCCACCUGGGGAGUACGUUCGCAAGAAUGAAACUCAAAGGAAUUGACGGGGGCCCGCACAAGCGGUGGAGCAUGUGGUUUAAUUCGAUGAUACGCGAGGAACCUUACCUGGGCUCAAAUGUAAGUUGACGUAACGGGAAACCGUUAUUUCUUCGGACAAUUUACAAGGUGCUGCAUGGUUGUCGUCAGCUCGUGCCGUGAGGUGUCGGGUUAAGUCCCAUAACGAGCGCAACCCCUAUCAUUAGUUGCCAUCAGGUAAAGCUGGGGACUCUAAUGAAACUGCCUACGCAAGUAGAGAGGAAGGUGGGGAUGACGUCAAAUCAGCACGGCCCUUACGUCCAGGGCUACACACGUGCUACAAUGGCCGGUACAGAGGGCAGCCACCUGGUGACAGGGAGCGAAUCUCGAAAGCCGGUCUCAGUUCGGAUCGAAGUCUGCAACCCGACUUCGUGAAGCUGGAAUCGCUAGUAAUCGCGCAUCAGCCAUGGCGCGGUGAAUACGUUCCCGGGCCUUGUACACACCGCCCGUCAAGCCAUGGAAGCUGGGGGGUACCUGAAGUCGGUAACCGUAAAGGAGCUG